UACGUAGGGUGCAAGCGUUGCCCGGAUUUAUUGGGCGUAAAGGGCGCGUAGGCGGCUUUGCAAGUCGGGUGUGAAAUCCCCAGGCUUAACCUGGGAACUGCAUUCGAGACUGCAUUGCUAGAGUAUGGGAGAGGGAAGUGGAAUUUCCGGUGUAGCGGUGAAAUGUGUAGAUAUCGGAAGGAACAUCAGUGGCGAAAGCGACUUCCUGGACCAAUACUGACGCUCAUGUGCGAAAGCGUGGGGAGCAAACAGG
rnacentral:rRNA from 1 species